rnacentral:rRNA from 1 species
UUCGCGGCCUAUCAGCUUGUUGGUGAGGUAAUGGCUCACCAAGGCGUCGACGGGUAGCCGGCCUGAGAGGGUGACCGGCCACACUGGGACUGAGACACGGCCCAGACUCCUACGGGAGGCAGUAGUGGGGAAUAUUGCACAAUGGGCGCAAGCCUGAUGCAGCAACGCCGCGUGAGGGAUGACGGCCUUCGGGUUGUAAACCUCUUUUAGCAGGGAAGAAGCGAAAGUGACGGCACCUGCAGAAAAAGCGCCGGCUAACUACGUGCCAGCAGCCGCGGUAAUACGUAGGGCGCAAGCGUUAUCCGGAAUUAUUGGGCGUAAAGAGCUCGUAGGCGGUUUGUCGCGUCUGCUGUGAAAUCCCGAGGCUCAACCUCGGGCCUGCAGUGGGUACGGGCAGACUAGAGUGCGGUAGGGGAGAUUGGAAUUCCUGGUGUAGCGGUGGAAUGCGCAGAUAUCAGGAGGAACACCGAUGGCGAAGGCAGAUCUCUGGGCCGUAACUGACGCUGAGGAGCGAAAGGGUGGGGAGCAAACAGGCUUAGAUACCCUGGUAGUCCACCCCGUAAACGUUGGGAACUAGUUGUGGGGUCCAUUCCACGGAUUCCGUGACGCAGCUUUCGCAUUAAGUUCCCCGCCUGGGGAGUACGGAAU